rnacentral:lncRNA from 1 species
AUGUAUACUUAUCCCGUCUUACGUGGCUCGAACAUGAAAUCAGGAUUGAAUUUGGGGUUUUACCGGUUGGCCUUUGCUGCAGAUGGAUUGAGCCAGCCCUUAGUUCAAUCGCGGGGAGACUGGAGCCUGAGGAGCAGCAGCAGCCCCAGCGGCAGCCGCAGUAGCAGUCUUGGUAUUGAGCAAGUGUCUCAGUGCCCCCACCCCCUGAAGCCAAUACACCUCCUUAGAAAGGGCCACUGGGGGAAGCAAAUCCACCAGCCAGAGGCGGCGAAGCAGCAUGGACAGGAAAACCAGGAACGACACAAACUAAAAAGGGGAUCAGACUCAACCGUUUGUUUCAAAAAACCAAAACACCUAAGGGACAGUAAAAUGAGCUUUCCUUCUUUCUGACCUGGGAAGAGCAUGAUGCUUCUCCAUUUCACAUCACCUUCUUACCUUCCCCCUUUCCCCCCCCCAAGAAAAAAUAACUCAAGUAGAAAAGGAAUAAAGAAAUAAAAUCACAGCUACGGAUAUACCCA